UUUUUUUUUUAAAUAAGCUUAAUGCAAUUGCCAGCUGAAAUCAUAUCAAGUUUAGUAGUUUCCAAGGCUUUCAGAAAUCAACUGGAAAUUUUUUUUAAAAAAAAUGCUGCUCAUCUUGUAUGGCAUUUUAUCAAUCAAAUGAAUUUGCCCAAUGACCAUCAACCUUGGGAAUUUCUGAUGAACUAAGUCAUCCAGGACAAACACUCUACAAAACGGAUUGGUGACUGUACCUUUAUUAAAAUGCUAAAUAUGAGGUGCGUUAUAUUUAAACCUGCAUAAUAAUUUUGUUUUGUGUCUAUGAGAAACCCC
rnacentral:lncRNA from 1 species